CCUUUACAACGCACGAGAGAGAGAAAGAGAGAGAGAAAAAUCACUAUCCAUUCAUACCUUCACACUCAUUCUCUGGACCUCUGUUUCCGCCGCACUUUCCUCUCUUCCUUCCACACUCUCAUUCAUAUCCAGCCACCCUCCUCCCUCCAUCAUCUCCUCUAGUUUCUUCAUUCAAACCUCUUUCUCCCUCUUCUCACCUAAAACCUCUCCUACCAUCUCCUGCCAUCCCUUUUCCGUCCCUAAAUCCGUGCAUUCCUCCCAUAUAUGUUCCCAUGUUUCCUCUCCCAAUCCACAUAUCCUACAGUAGAACCAUUAGCGUCACUUCAUAAAAAUAGCGUUGGAGAAUUGCUACAGCGCAUGCGCUACAUUACUACCCACAAUAUGGCGUCAACUGUGUAAUAAGCACAUAUUCUGUGAGUGAAGUAUGGUUAUGUUAUGUUAUAUUAUUACAUUAUUAUAUUAUUAAACAAGAUUUGUGUUAUGGAGCGUGUAAUUGUUGGCGGUUUUAUGUGCGCAAUGAUUGAUUGCAAUAACAACUCGGGAGUGGAUCGUCAUUUAAUUACAUCUAAUUCAGAAAAAGCAAAAGUGUGGCAACAAGCGUGUGGCAUAAAAAAGAACAUUCCAGAAAAAAAACUCUACAAUAAUUAUAGAGUUUGCUCAUAACAUUUUGCCCCCCCCCCCCAUUGUUUUUAAAUAAUGUAAAUAUCGACUUCAGCCACAUGCAGUUCCAAUAAGUGCGGUUCCUAAUAUUUCCAACGAAGCUGUUACUGCCACUCAAAGUAAAAUCAACGUUGAAACUUCAAUAGAAAAUUGUACAGAAGAUGUACAAGUAAAUGUGCCCGAAGUUAAAAUCAGUUAUUCAAAAGCCAAUUUGACAG
rnacentral:lncRNA from 13 species